rnacentral:rRNA from 1 species
UACGAAGGGGGCUAGCGUUGCUCGGAAUCACUGGGCGUAAAGGGUGCGUAGGCGGCCAUUCAAGUCAGGGGUGAAAGCCUGUGGCUCAACCACAGAAUUGCCUUUGAUACUGUUUGGCUAGAGACCGGAAGAGGUAAGUGGAACUGCGAGUGUAGAGGUGAAAUUCGUAGAUAUUCGCAAGAACACCAGUGGCGAAGGCGGCUUACUGGUCCGGUUCUGACGCUGAGGCACGAAAGCGUGGGGAGCAAACAGG